GACGGAGGGUGCAAGCGUUGUUCGGAAUUACUGGGCGUAAAGGGCGCGUAGGCGGUCUGUUAAGUUCGGUGUGAAAGCCCCCGGCUCACCUGGGGAACUGCGCCGGAAACCGACAGACUCGAGUACCGGAGAGGAGGGUGGAAUUUCUGGUGUAGCGGUGAAAUGCGUAGAUAUCAGGAGGAACACCGGUGGCGAAGGCGGCCCUCUGGACGGAUACUGACGCUGAGGCGCGAAAGCGUGGGGAUCAAACAGG
rnacentral:rRNA from 1 species